GGUUGUAGCUCAGUGGUAGAAUGCUUUCUUAGCAUGCAUGAGGACCUGGGUUCAAUAUCUAGCACCA
rnacentral:tRNA from 1 species